rnacentral:sRNA from 1 species
ACCUUCCUCCCGUCUUGCCUUCUCCCUGGAGUUGGAAUCCGGGAACAACCAUGAAGUGGCUGCUGCUGCUCGGUCUGGUGGCGCUCUCUGAGUGCAUCAUGUACAAAGUCCCCCUCAUCAGAAAGAAGUCCUUGAGGCGCACCCUGUCUGAGCAUGGCCUGCUGAAGGACUUCCUGAAGAAGCACAACCUCAACCCAGCCAGAAAGUACUUCCCCCAGUGGGAGGCUCCCACCCUGGUAGAUGAACAGCCCCUGGAGAACUACCUGGAUAUGGAGUACUUCGGCACUAUCGGCAUUGGAACUCCUGCCCAGGAUUUCACCGUCAUCUUUGACACCGGCUCCUCCAACCUGUGGGUGCCCUCAGUCUACUGCUCCAGUCUCGCCUGCAGUAAGUGCCCAGCCCGCCCUACCCCACUCUCGCUCCCCAGCACCAGCCGACCCUGUGGAACCCUGGACACCCACGGGGUUCAGACAGCUCCCACCUCAAGCCUGCUGGAGCCACUCAACAGGCAUUUAUUGAGCACCUACUACCUGCCAAGCACUGGGCUCAGGGGUAAAGGGAUGAGU